ACCCUCCAGGACGGUGGGUCUGGUGCCGAGCUCGAUGUCCACGGUCACAGUGCGAGUUUAUGGACGGGGAGUUUGAUCUGGAAACGAAUUCGCGGCUUCCUCCUGUCCUUUGUACACCGCUGAGCUCCGGCUUGGGCUAGAGAGAAGGAUGGACGGCCGUGAGCCAGCCAGGAGCAGGAAGCACUGAGAGAGAGAGGGAGAGACGAAUUACUAACAUUUAUGAAUGAAAGACACAACGAAAGGUAACCUUCAGCAGGAGCCAGCCCCCCCAAACCCCGCAGCUCCGACGGGACCGAGAACGCUCUUCUCUUCGUCUCUGCCUUCGCUUUUCCCAGCGCAAACAGACCCUAGUAAUAACCAAAUCAGGGGCUCGGCAAGGGCCAGAGGUGCCGGCGGAGGCGCGGGCAGUGCACGUCCGAGCCCGUCCUGUUUGAACACGCUCCAGACGGAGCUUUGAUCCCCGCCGGGGAAUCAGCGCUGGGUAUCUCUGCUUUGUUGGCCGUCGCUAUCUGCUGGCGAUAAGGGGUGGCCGAGGGAGCUGCCCUUGCCGUCCUCCUGCUGUAGGCUCCGUGCGGAGCGAGGCGAGCGCGGCCGGCGGGACGAGGCGAUGCGGCGGCCGCGGGAAAGGGGGCAGUGCAGCCCCAGGAACGGAGCGGAGCGGAGCGGAGCGGGUCCCUGCGCGCCGCCUGCCUCCUGGGGAGGGUACCGGCCCCAGAUCUGCGCCCCAGGGCUUCUCCUGCUUCCUCCCCUCCCCAAUCUGGCAUCACCACCACCCGCAUCUCUUUUUCCCUUUUAAUAUUAAACAAAAGAAAAGUUUGUUCUCAAAGUCAAGAGCCAGGAUCCAGUGGUUUUUCUCUUUACUGAGUGAAGCAGAAUUAAGCCUCUGAAGCGAAGAUGCCCCGGAGGGAAUGGGUACAGAAACGAGAACCGACUCCCAUGGAACCGCGCUCAGGCUGGGGUACCCCCGGCUGGGCUCGCAGGGUCCCCGGUGGCGCUCCCGGCCCUUUGCACGCCCUCCACUAGUGCAUCCACGGCUCGGGUGAGUGCACAACCCCGCUAUUGCUUCCACAUGUUCCUCCAGGAAAUCAUCGGAGUCAGAACUGUGAGCAGCCCCUGGUCGGAAUGCUAACAGGAUACCGUAAUGCUUGUGAAUAAACAACAGGCUCCCAGUGAGUCAAAAGUAUGGCAAAAAAAAAAUCCCCCAAAACCAAAACAAAAUAAACCAAAAUCCAAAACUAAACAACCAAAAAACAACACGGGGGGAAAAAACUCACACUGCACCCUGGAACUCUGCAUCUGGGAGGGUGAGCGUACCUAGUAGCCUGAACCCCUUAAUUUGUGGAGGGAAAUGUUCUAUCAUGACUUGGAUCAGAGCUGUGAGGUCUCGCAAAUAUAAGCCCCGCGAAGAUGAGCGUCAACUGUCUGUGCGCCCCGAGGCGAUCUUGCAGGAUUCGGUCCUUGAUGUAUCGGCGUGAGCGUGUCUGGUUUAACGUGCGGGGCAGAGGUGGUGAUUCCUGGCGAAGUAUCAUCAUGAUGGGAUGUAAUGCGAGAGUUACUCUUGCGAAAAGAAAGGAGCAAAAUGAAAGGGGAGGAGGCGCCUUCUGGUUGCAAUUACCUGGCUCAUUUGAAUAAUGCCUUUGUCAUGAUCAUUAUCGAGAGGUCGUUAACGGCUUCCACGUGGGAUCUCACAAGACCCAACGAAAAAUAAAAAUUGCAAACUGAGGGACUGGCAAAGCUGCCUGCCAGGCAAGGCUGGCGCUGCAGGCGGGGGCCCGACGGCUUUGCGGGGACAGGGACGGCGGUGUCCCGUCGCCCAGACCCCCUUCUGGGGAGCGGUGAUACUUUUCCCUUCCCUACGCUAAGGGCCCGGCUGCGCCGUCCCCAUGCCCGCCGCCCCGACAAGGACCGAGCCGGCGGGAGGUGGGCUCUACCGGUUCUCGUCGUUGGGCCGAUCCCCCUCCUCAGUAUCGGUGGUGUCUAUGGAUUGGUUCCGCGCAGAGGAGGUGGUAGUUAAAAUAAACCCUCCGGGACGUCUGCUGAGCUCUGCCCCCCGCCCUGUGUGGUGCAGGGGGGUCCCGUCCAGAGAGGCGCGGGGGACGUGGGGUUAGCGAGAGGACAAGUGGGGGUGGGGGAACUUUUUACCAUUGCGGCCCCCUCUCCUCUCCCCUCUCCUCCCGCCUUCCCCUUUCCUGAAGGGUUGGAGCAUAAAGUAUCCCGCUAGCCUAUGUUUAUGUGGCAACAGAUGGAAGCUGCACACGUCUUAAACAAAACUGCGGUGCCCGAGCUAGAGCAGCUCUCGCCUGUUUAUGCUCUCAGCCUACCCCCCGGCCUGGAUGGGUGGGUGUACGUCCCGCUCCCGGGCCCGCGGCGCCGGCAGAAGCCGGGCAUCGGGGGCACUGACGGGGCGGGUUAUUGCAGGGCGGCUCGCUCGGCUCCCGGACGCUUCCAGAGGGGCUGGUAACUUUCGAGCCGCCCUGCUUAGCAUUCUCCUCCCUGGGGAAAUCCCAAUUUGUUGCAAGUAAUAAGCUCUUUCCUGCGGCUCUCUCCCAAGGGUGAACCGUGAAGCGGUUGGCUGGCUGAGCCUAUUGGACAAUGCAAUGGGUGGCUCAUGUGGGGUCCGAGCGGCCACCGGCGGGACGGUGCAGGCGAGAGGGCCCCGCGGGAAGGCCCGCCGUGGGGCCGCAGCCUUUUGACUGGAUGGGAAAACAUGUCUGGGUUUGAUUAUCGUUACCCACGUUCAGCGACGCACGGAAUGGGAGUCACCCUUUUUACCUUUUAGAGCAGGAACCCUUGCCUGGCGAAGAGCAGCUACAGCGUGGAGCAGAGAGCCCUGAAACCCCUGAGACAGAGAGAAAACAGAGCGACCUGUCAUAACUUGUCGCUAUAAAUCCGUGCUCACAUCUGAGCGAACUCAGCGGCGAGGGCUUCCUGAAAUAGACGGAGACCUAGUCAGGCGACCGCCAAGGCCUCGAGCCCCGCCGAGAGAUGUGCUCUGCUGGCGGGAGGGCCCUGUGUACAUUUGCAGUCCUACCAGGUUUUUAUUUCUUUUCGUAUUUCCACAAAUACAGAUUCCCUCAUAUUGUUUGUUCAACAGAAUUUGGCUCUGAAUAGCAGGGGUCCCGUGUCACCGGGAAGACAGGGAGCCAGACAAAAGAAAUAACUUUGCCCAGCCUGCCCUCUCUAGCCUUUAUUUUUAUUCCCCACAUGGUUGGUUAUGGUAGCUCCCCGUGCCCGUCGUUUUCCCACUGAGGCCGCUGCUGCAACGACGUCGAGCUGUUUUCCUCUUAUUGUUGCUUUUGGCUCUUGACGUUAAAAGAUGCCAGAACAGCCGUGGAAGCCUUAUUCUUUGAAAAGCAGGCUUUGUUUUUCCUUUUGCUCCCGCCCUGACGUUUUUUUUCACUGCGGCAGAACGGAUAGCCCGCUUUGGUCCAGAAGCAGCCUGAACCAAGUUUAGGGGUGAGCAUAUAGAAAAAAAAUAAGAGGAGAAUGGGAAGGAUCUCUGCUGCAUGGUGACCCUCCCCAGCUUGAAAGCUGACACGGAACACUUGGGUUAUCUCAACUUCAUACUCCUUGGGCUUGUUUACUCCUUUGUGCAAUGAUGAAGUUGUGCUGGCUCAUUUUCAAGCUAUUGCAACAGUCACAUACUGAGACUCUUCCUCCAUCUGUGUGUCUUCAGAUUGUAGCACAUUCCCACUUGCUGAACUGGGAACAGAUAAAAACUGGGACAAGAGAAAGACAGGUUGUUUGCCCCUUUGUGGUAAAACCAGUGACAAGACUCUAAACUGUGCUGGUGGCACAAGCAAAGUGGAUGCUUGCUGCAGUUAUGGACUCAGAAGAUACCUGAGAGAGAAGGAAAUCGUGAUGGAUUUGGUCAAUCUGGAGAUGCAAGACUUCUCUAAAUAAUUCUGAGAACAGGAAGUGGUGAAAAACAGGGACAGGAUCAAAGAAAUACGCACAGUUCCUUUCCAGCUCCUUCUGCCUCCAGCAUCAUCUUGUUAUAGUUGAUGUGACUGUUCAGCUACAGGCUGAACAGACAGUGUGGCUGCAGUCCUAAGUGUUCCUAUGGUACAUCAAAAGACAGGAAACUUUGAAGAAAUGCAUAAUUUCAUGAAAAUAUUAAUAAAUGUUUGGUGUGCUGCCUCAAGAAAAUGAGAUAUGUUGCAUUUGCAGUAAUGCAGAUAACAUUCAUGCAAGAAAAAUCUAGAAGAAUGUGACUGCACACAAUAUUUAGGCUAAUUUUUACUUUAUUUGACAACUGCUUUGAGAGGAAAACAGCAUUUUAGAAAGAUUUUUUGUUUCCUAUACUCAUAUCAUAAGGAUUUUGAAGUGCAAAGGUCACUCAUUUUUCUAAAGAGUGUGGUGACACAGAUCAAAAAGUUAUAUCAUGGCAUUAAAUUAUCUUCAUUACAAACUUUGAUCACUAUCAGGUUGUUAUGAUUCUUACUGGAGAAAAACUAAAAAAAAAUCAAGUCCCACUAGCACAGUUUUGAAAUGCUAUCUCUAGUAUUUCUUUUGAAAUGCCUUUGAAAUAUUUUUGUCACAUUAUUUGUUCUUAGUAGUUUGUUUUCCUAAUCUUUGAGUUUUAUAUUUUCACAAGGGUCUUUUUAUUAAAAAAAAAACCUGAAUAGCUCCCUCAUGAGAGAAAAAGAGACGCCAAGUUUGUUUAGUAUAUUACAUAUCGCUUGCCACUUUGAUAGUUACCUAAUUUGCAGACAUGGGCAUAAUUUCAAGUUGGCAGUGCCGCCUUAAACUUUGAUUUCAAGAAUGCUGUUUUAUUAACAUGAUCUGACAGAGUCCCAUAAACCAGCAAAGUUGUGCAAUGCUUCUUCCGUGUUUUCAUCUCUUAGCACAGAUUUGUUAUUUUCAGAAAAGAAUGACAUUGCACCAUUUCUGGAGCAAUGUAGAUGACUUCAAAAGUCACCUCUUCUAGAAAAUGAUUACUAUAAUCUAUUAUUUAAUCCUCUAUCUAAUCCAGGAACUGUCAAAACCAGAUUGAUUACUGUCUAGAAAAAAUGAAUGGAAAAAAUAAAACAUAGGGAAACAUAUGAAUAAACUGCAUACAGAUGCACUUUUUUAUCAUACUUUUCUAUGUACUUAUAUAUGCAAGCAUACUUGUACCUGGCAGUUUUCUUAAUUCAUCUACAUUUCCCCUUCACACUUGGGUUUGUUUUCAACAGUCAUUUACUUGAUUUUUUGUUUUGCAGAAAGUAAUCAGUUAAGAUCAGCACUCUGCCAUGUUCAAUGCUUUUUAUACACAUAUAUAGCUAUAAAUGGAUAUAUAUAAAUACACGUAAGGCCCAGAGUCUGCAGUGACAUGAGUGUGACAGAGAGAGUGUGACAGUCCUUGUCCCUAGCAAAGGCUGCAGCUGCUCUCCAAAAGCCUCUCCAGAGCAGCACAGCAAGGAAGAUUCUGCCAAUAAAGUCUAUUGGAAUCAAGUUGGGAAGCAUCCUUGGCAGGCAAGAAGACAGCAGUCAAGAAAGAAGUUAAGGACCAAAGUGAGAGAAGUGAGACAAAACCUGGUGUGAGAAAGUGCAAGUUCAUGUAUCAAAAAGUUACGAACAGUUUUUGCUGUGAAUAUAAGAAAGAUUAGUAGACAGAUGGGAUAAUUUUGAGCUCCCAGACAUUUAAUGAUCAAAAUAAAAUAUAUUAAAAAAAAAAAAAGAAAAAGAAAAACAGAUAACAGAAAGUAUCAGGAUAGGAAUUGACAUCAAAGACAUCAGAGAAUAAAUGCCAUUCUACAAGGCACUAGGUAUUACCCUGUUUAGCUGUAUUCAAGCAUAUCCAGGAAAAAGAAAUCCUAGGUUCAGGAGAAGGGCUACCUUGAACAGGGUAAGAUAAGAGGACACAUAGGGAGCCUGGCUAUGUCAGUCUGUCAAACUGAAAACUGAAAAUGAGUAAGUGUCUUCAAAAUGUAACAACAGAGUAAAUACCAGAAGAGAGAAUAUUCAUUUAAGAAAAAGCAAAAGAACAAAUAUGCUAAAAGGUAAUGGUAAAUAAUGUAUCAGUAAAGAAGUAAAUGUUGAUCAUGAACAUGUUUACAAUGAUAACAAAAUGUUUCCAAGCACCAGAGUGAUGAGUUUAGAGACGGUCCUCUAAAAUGAUGGGCUGGUCAUCAAGAGCACUGCAGCAAUCUAAGAGGUGAAAGACCCCCCAUGGCUCCAGUCUCAGAGGACCAGGCUCUGUAUAAUCCUGAAGACCAUUUGUUUUGCCAGAAGGAUGGGACAGCAAAGGCAAGUGGGCAUCAAAACUGUUCCAUCCCCAGCUUGGGGAACCAAGCUAUGAAGCAGUGGCUCCUAUUACGGGAAGGAGGUAUCUCCUUCACCUCCACUACUAUAGUAACCUCCACUAUACACAUAUCAAUUCAUCCCUUGCUGGUGGCUGCAGUAACUGUAGUCUGAUUUUCCAGAGUUUUUAGAUACAUAGAAGAGGUUGAGCGUUGUCCAUGCUGAGAAUUAGUGCUGAAUUAUGACACUCUACAAACUACUGCAGUGCAGAAAGGAAUAAAUCUCUUUAUUAUGAUUUUUAAAUGUUCUAAAUAAAAGGAUAGUUAUUACUUGGCUUGUUAGAAGCUCAGUGGUUGCUCAGGAUUUCCUGAGCAGGUUAUUGGGCAGGUCAUCAGACAGAUUACACUUUUCUGAAGCUUGUAGUAACUAGCUGCUAGCUAUGGUUACUCUCCAGUAUUGAAUUAAAAUGCUGGAGUAGGAGGCAGAAAGAAGACCAGGAAUGGAAUCAAAGCUGCAAUCUGUUAACUUCACUGAGACAUGGCACACUCCUCUGAGAGCAGCUCAGCACAUUGUUAGUGCAUCAGUUUGUGAAGGCUCCCUUCUCACCACACAGCCCUUCAGAAGUUGGCUAGGGAAGACAGCAUAUCACGAAAUACCUUGGCGGUGUGCUGGAUUCUCUUAUUACACCACCACGAGUAAAGGAACACUAUUAAGUCAGGCGUAGCUGGAAGUUGUAUUUGCAGAGUGAUCUGGACCUCAUGUUAUUUGUAUCUGUAAAACUAUUAACCCUUGCACUCUUCUUUCAACGCUCUGUUCUAUUUUCUUUUCGAAAUGAUAAAGGGAAUGAAGUUUGUGGGUAAUUCCUAAGUAACUCUGCGCUCAGCUGCCAUCAUUGCUUGGUCUUAGGGGUUUCUCUCUCUUCAGGACUCACAUCUAAGUUUAUUCAAAUAAUGGUAUAUAGGGCCUGAUACUGUACCAGCCUCUUCUCAUUUUCAUAUACUUGUUGCUUCUUAGUUGCUCAAAGACACAGAACGAAGAUUUCACCAAGGUGGAGAGAAAUAUUCCUUCUGCUAGCUCAGGCUCAUAGGGCAAAUGCCACCCUUGCUUGUUGAGUUUUCUUGUCAUCUCUCCAUCUCCCCUUCUUCUUUUCUGCUUCCAGAAACAACAGUAUUUUGUCUUGAAGCAAACUUUCUGCAUUCCACUUGCUAUUUUUGUCAGUGGUGUAAGGCAUGCACCUGCUUUUCAUUAAUCUAGCAAUCUCACAAAGCUUCAGAAAUACUUGUUUGAAUAGGGAUGCCAGUAUACCUCUAUGGAUGUGGCUCACCCUUUACCUCUGGGGACAUCACCUGUAACUCAGAGGGCAGAGGUCUGUAUUUUGAAGCUGAAGGACAAUACUUCUGUUUCUAUGUUCACAGCUCAUUGAGUUUUAGAAAUAAUUUGUCAACUGCAUCCUGAGUCUGUGCCACAUGGCUCCACUAACAUAUCCACAAAAUCUGUCAGAAAAAUACGCUGGUUGACUGCAUUCAGUGAAAAUGUUGCAUGUUUCCUGCAGAGUGACAAAUUCCAGCAUUAAAAUGAGGUCUCUGUAUCAGCACACAUGGAGGCAGAAGGGGAUUAGAGUCCUUUCAAUAAUCAAAAAUGUAUAAAGUUGAGGCUUGAUUCAUAGCCUGAAUCACAACUCAUUGAAUUUUCUGGAGUAAGUCCAGAGGCUGCAGUAGGCUUUGGAUCACUUCCAGCCUCCAAAAAAAUAAAUAGCUGAAAUUUAAUAUCCUGAUAUAUAUAUAUGGGAGUCCACAUUAGAUGAGCUAAUAAUUUCAUUUUGGACUUUAACUCUGUGCAUCUUGUCAAGUCUGAAGCUUUUUUGGCCUUUUAAAAGCAGCUGUAGCAUGAAUUGUCUCAAGAAAACACAAAGUAGAUGCCUACACUGCACAGCAGGGUAUUCUACAGAGAUCCCAGAGCCACUGCUGACUGUACAUUGUCCCCUCAGCUGCAUGGCACCGUGCCCAGGCUAAUAAGACCUGCUGAAUGACAUAGUUUGUUAGUGUCAUAGCAGCUUGGAUUUUAGAGCUUCCGAUCUCCUCUGUUCCUUGCACCCAUCCCCACAUGGAAACUCCACCAGUUUCUGUCCUUUCUACUCAGCUUCUUAUAGGAUUGUUCCCCAAUAUGUUUCUCACAAAAUGGCUCAGGUUAGCAAAAGUCAUCUCUUUAAUCCAAUUAACUUAACGUGGUCCAUCUCUGUUGGCUAUAAAAAAGGGAUGACUUUAUAGGAGCCUCUCUGUUGGCAUAUACAAGUGGCAUGGAGCUGCUGGGACUGUAAGGAUAAACAGCUGUGCUGGGACAUCUUCUAUCACCCAGCUGCCACCAAAAAAUUCAUCCCAAAGAUUUUACCCCAGAAAUAUUACCAUGGUCUGUCAUCUAAAAGUGUCUGUGUCUUUUUCUCUUUUAAAAACAAUGCAUCAAGUCCUAAACAUCUUAUCCCAGGCAAUGCUUGCAGUCUUCUACACUGACACAACUGUUUUGUUCUUGAGCAAAGAUGUAGCUCAGCAUUCAGUCAGGAAUUUGGGAUUCAGCAUUAAAUGCAAGUAGAACAAUUACAAACAAAAAAAAUUCCUUUACUGAUUUCUUUGGUCACACUUCAGUUCUUAAAGGAGAGAAAUCAAAUGUAAAAAGGAGAAUGGUAUUGCUCCAUCUGCUACAAGUUUCAAAGCAGAAAAAUGUUCCUAUCAUCCUAAACACACAAACACCAACAUGAUAAUAUUUUCCCCAGACUUUUAAGUCUUAUUCCCUCUUAAGACCAUUGAUUAUGCUUCUCUGUGAGAAGAAAGACUAUAAUUGCAGGUUUCUCUCUAAAUAUUAAAAGGCAGCAGUGGCAAUUUUGCUGAAAGGAGAUGUGGCACACAACAUUUUCCCAUUAUGUUUUUCAGUUGCUUUUAAAGUAGAGUGAAUCAGCAUUGUUUUCCAAAUACCAGGAAGGCACUAAUAACUCUUAUGAAGGAGGAAUGGAAGUAACAGUUGGUCAUUUUACUGCAAAAAGUAGUUAUUACUCUAAUAAUGAAUCAUUUGAAACCUUCACAUGGUCCAUUAUAACAAUAUUUUAAAUCAAACUGUAAGAGACUUAACCCCAUAAAUCUGAAAAUGGCCUAAACCCUCUGGGAAUGACAAUACUUUCUUGACAGGCCAGAUUCUUUCUGAAAUCAAGAAAGAUUUUUACUUUCCUGGGAAAAGCUAUGAGACAUUCAUGUUGUCAGAACUCAGCCCACUGUUUUAAAUGACAGCAUUGCCAACUGACCAUCCUGCGCGCUGUAUUAUAGUCAUUUUCUCUCAUCAAAAUAUUUUCCUGAGCAGUUUAACAAAAUGUUCGUCAGUUCAGCAUAAAGAGAUCCCACUCUUGCCUACAUAGGUCCAAAUCAUGAGGAAUCCAAUUGAACUAACACCAUACCACUGCACAUCCGAUAUAUGAAAGGAGAAUCAGGCAGGAGAAUGAAGCAGGUAUAUGCUACCUGCCAUUUAAUAUAAACUUCUCAAAUUAAGCACCUGUUAACAUUAAGUUAUACAGCUGUAUCAUGCAUAUUUGUGGAAAAAAAAUCUUUAUACAUAUGUGUUUGUAUUUCAAAAUCUAGUUUCUUUUCCAUUUAAAAAAGCAUCAAUCUUUCUUACCCACCACAAGAAAGGUUCUUUCAUCGUCUCAGACCCAAUUUCUGAUGUACGGUAAGGGUUUCCCAACCUUGUUGUACUGUAGAAGUGAAUUAGCAGCAUUUAGGAAGAGGAAGCAAAGAAUGCCAAGAAAUCCUCCCAAUCUGGACAAUACACAAGCACGGUAAAUCUGGGACCCAAUAGAGAAACUUAUAAAGAUGACCUGAAACUGAGGUCAACAUCAAAAUAAAGAAGCAAUGUCAUUAAUAAAAGUGCAUGUAAUAUUU